ensembl:snRNA U6 U6 spliceosomal RNA
GUGUUCAUUUCAGCAGCACAUAUACCAAAAUUGGAAUGAUGCAGAGAAGAUUAGCAUGGCCCCUGGGCAAGGAUGACACACAAAUUCCUAAAACAAAAGGGAUGUGA